CCUACGGGAGGCAGCAGUGGGGAAUAUUGCGCAAUGGGCGAAAGCCUGACGCAGCGACGCCGCGUGAGGGAUGAAGGUCUUCGGAUCGUAAACCUCUGUCAGCAGGGAAGAACGGUCACUGUGCUAAUCAGCAGUGAAUUGACGGUACCUGCAAAGGAAGCACCGGCUAACUCCGUGCCAACAGCUGCGGUAAUACGGAGGGUGCGAGCGUGAAUCGGAAUGACUGGGCGUAAGGCGCUCGUAGGCGGUAUGUCAAAUCAAGGGGGAAAUCCCCGCGCUCAACGGGGGAACUGCCUUUGAAACUGGCAAACUGGAGUGUGUGAGAGGUUAGUGGAAUUCCAGGUGUAGGAGUGAAAUGCGUAGAUAUCGGGAGGAACAUCAGUGGCGAAGGCGACUAUCUGGCACAUAACUGACGCUGAGGAGCGAAAGCGUGGGUAGCAAACAGGAUUAGAUACCCGGGUAGUC
rnacentral:rRNA from 1 species